rnacentral:rRNA from 1 species
AUUGAACGCUGGCGGCAUGCUUUACACAUGCAAGUCGAACGGUAACAGGGUGCUUGCACCGCUGACGAGUGGCGAACGGGUGAGUAAUGCGUCGGAACGUGCCGAGUAGUGGGGGAUAACGCAGCGAAAGUUGUGCUAAUACCGCAUACGUACUGAGGUAGAAAGUGGGGGACCUUCGGGCCUCACGCUAUUCGAGCGGCCGACGUCUGAUUAGCUAGUUGGUGGGGUAAAGGCCUACCAAGGCGACGAUCAGUAGCUGGUCUGAGAGGACGAUCAGCCACACUGGGACUGAGACACGGCCCAGACUCCUACGGGAGGCAGCAGUGGGGAAUUUUGGACAAUGGGCGAAAGCCUGAUCCAGCAAUGCCGCGUGUGUGAAGAAGGCCUUCGGGUUGUAAAGCACUUUUGUCCGGAAAGAAAUGGCUCUGGUUAAUACCUGGGGUCGAUGACGGUACCGGAAGAAUAAGGACCGGCUAACUACGUGCCAGCCGCCGCAGUAA